rnacentral:snoRNA from 1 species
AAACCAUGAUAAGGACAAUGUCGAAGUAAUUCUUUUUAUCUUUCCCAAGCCUCGUACAACAAUUUAGAAUCUUGCUGCAUGAAUGAUGUGAUAUCAUUCCUCAUUUU